GGAGGCAGCAGUGGGGGAUAUUGGACAAUGGGGGAAACCCUGAUCCAGCGAUGCCGCGUGAGGGAAGAAGGUUUUCGGAUUGUAAACCUCUGUGGACAGGGACGAUAAUGACGGUACCUGUUUAGAAAGCCACGGCUAACUACGUGCCAGCAGCCGCGGUAAUACGUAGGUGGCGAGCGUUGUCCGGAAUUACUGGGUGUAAAGGGAGUGUAGGCGGGAAGGCAAGCCAGAAGUGAAAAUUAUGGGCUUAACCCAAACCUGCUUUUGAAACUGUUUUUCUUGAGUGAGGCAGAGGCAAGCGGAAUUCCUAGUGUAGCGGUGAAAUGCGUAGAUAUUAGGAGGAACACCAGUGGCGAAGGCGGCUUGCUGGGCCUUUACUGACGCUGAGGCUCGAAAGCGUGGGGAGCAAACAGGAUUAGAUACCCUGGUAGUCCACGCCGUAAACGAUGAUCACUAGGUGUGGGGAG
rnacentral:rRNA from 1 species